rnacentral:misc_RNA from 1 species
GAUGAAGAACGCAGCGAAAUGCGAUAAGUAGUGUGAAUUGCAGAAUUCAGUGAAUCAUCGAAUCUUUGAACGCACAUUGCGCCCCUUGGUAUCCCGAGGGGCAUGCCUGUUCGAGCGUCAUUUCACCACUCAAGCCUGGCUUGGUGUUGGGCGACGUCCCCUUUGGGGACGCGCCUCGAAACGCUCGGCGGCGUGGCACCGGCUUUAAGCGUAGCAGAAUCAUUCGCUUUGGAAGUCGGGGCCCCGUCUGCCGGAAGACCUACUCGCAAGGUUGACCUCGGAUCAGGCAGGGAUACCCGCUGAACUUAAGCAUAUCAAUAAGCGGAGGA